rnacentral:rRNA from 1 species
UUCCGGUUGAUCCCGCCGGACCUUACUGCUAUCGGGUUGAGACUAAGCCAUGCAAGUCGUGCGCUUUCUAGCUAUGUUGAGAGCGCGGCGAACGGCUCCGUAACACGUAGUUAACCUGCCCUCGGGAUGGAGAUACCCCCUGGGAAACUGGGAUUAAUAUCCACUAGAUGAUACUGCCUGGAAUGGUUUAUCAUUGAAAGAUUCUGGAAACAUGCUUCCAGCAUCGCCCAAGGAUGGGACUGCGUCCGAUCAGGUUGUUGGUGGGGUAACGGCCCACCAAGCCGAUAACCGGUACGGGCCCUGAGAGGGGGAGCCCGGAGAUGGAAACUGAGACAAGGUUCCAGGCCCUACGGGGCGCAGCAGGCGCGAAACCUCCACAAUGCGCGCAAGCGUGAUGGGGUUAGCCCGAGUGCCGUCCGAUGAGGAUGGCUUUUCCUUGGUGUAAAAAGCCAAGGGAAUAAAGGGGGGGCAAGACUGGUGUCAGCCGCCGCGGUAAUACCAGCUCCCUGAGUGGUAAGGACGAUUAUUUGGCUUAAAGCGUUCGUAGCCGGCUUAGCAAGUCUCUUGUCAAAUCCAAUGAUUCAAUCAUUGAACUGCAGGAGAUACUGCUAUGCUAGAGGACGGGAGAGGUCGACGGUAGUCCAGGGGUAGGGGUGAAAUCCUAUAAUCCUUGGAGGACCACCAGUGGCGAAGGCGGUCGACUAGAACGUGCCUGACGGUGAGGGACGAAAGCUGGGGGAGCGAACCGGAUUAGAUACCCGGGUAGUCCCAGCUGUAAACGAUGCGGGCUAGGUGUAGGGGUAGCUACGAGCUGCUCCUGUGCCGCAGAGAAAUCGUUAAGCCCGCCGCCUGGGGAGUACGAUCGCAAGAUUGAAACUUAAAGGAAUUGGCGGGGGAGCACCACAAGGGGUGAAGGCUGCGGUUUAAUUGGAGUCAACGCCGGA